GACGAACGCUGGCGGCGUGCUUAACACAUGCAAGUCGAACGGAAAGGCCCUGCUUUUGUGGGGUGCUCGAGUGGCGAACGGGUGAGUCACACGUGAGUAAUCUGCCCAUGACUUUGGGAUUACUUCAGGAAACUGGGGCUAAUACCGGAUAGGAGCUCCUGCUGCAUGGUGGGGGUUGGAAAGUUUCGGCGGUUGGGGAUGGACUCGCGGCGUAUCAGCUUGUUGGUGGGGUAGUGGCUUACCAAGGCUUUGACGGGUAGCCGGCCUGGGAGGGUGACCGGCCACAUUGGGACUGGGAUACGGCCCAGACUACUACGGGAGGCAGCAGUGGGGAAGAUUGCACAAUGGGCGGAAGCCUGAUGCAGCAACGCCGCGUGCGGGAUGACGGCCUUCGGGUUGUAAAGCGCUUUCGCCUGUGACGAGGCGUGAGUGACGGUAAUGGGUGAAGAAGCACCGGCUAACUACGUG
rnacentral:rRNA from 1 species